rnacentral:lncRNA from 1 species
GAGAUUCUAAGCACCGAUUCUUUUACUCUCCCUAGGAACGCAAGGUUAGGAUAAAUGAGUCAGUUAGAUGCUCCACUGGUAUAUCCAUUUUUCAUUUUGCAUAGCUAGUGUAUUCUUGUAGCAAAAUAUUUUAUCCGUUGCAAUUAUAUUGUGAUUUUUCCAUUUUGAACUCGAGAAAUUUUAGUGUAGUAUCUGGAAGACCACAGAGUUACGUGCUUCGGCAGAAACAGUUGUAUACCUGAAUGAAAUCUCUUGUCAAUAAUAAGGUUUGAUUACUCUUUGGAACUCAUUUACAGUACAUGGUUCUCUAGUUACAUGCAAAAGUUGCAGGUUGUGUAAAAAUGGUGGUUAUUUUGGUUUUGGUGAUUUAAGCACUCAUUACUGCAAUAUCAGCAAUGAGAAAAAGCAACUACUGAAAAUUGCUCUUAAUGGUGAAAGCAUUAUGCAUCAGGCUUCCUCGGAGUGAAAGCUAGCCAAAGAUGCUUUUGUUUACUGAAGGUGUUAUUUGCAGCAGUUGCAUCUGCCUGCAUAACUGUUACUGGCAUCCAGCUUGGAUAAUUAGAUGGUGAUGUUGGAUUCUGUUGCAGCAAAACAGUUCUUGUGCUGGGAUUCUGAUGAAUCGCGGUGUGAUUUUUGUACAUAAUGUCAGAAGGUAAUGCAUAUCAUCCAUAUUGAUUUAUUCAUCUUCUUUCAGGGAGCAAUGAACAUAAGUGGAUAAUGAGAUUUGGGAUUGAUGCUUGGAAAUGUUCUCACGUUUUGGGUUCGAAAGAUUGAAACAAUCUGCACAUUUCUUCUUUCUCUUGUUUCAUUGAAGUGGUUAUAAAACUAAAAAGUAUGAGUUUUUCACUGUGCAUAAUCUUACUGUUCAUUCUCUCACGUACUAUUAUAUUAUUGUAGAUAGAUUGUGCAAUUUUUUUUGUUUUUUUAAUUUGGUUCUUAAACUUUUUUUUCAGCGAUUUAGUCUUAGGCCAUGUUUGUUUCCCGGAAAGUAUCCGGGGAACCAUUUUACAAACUUUCCUUUGUUUAUUUGUCAUUAGAAAAGUUGGUAAACGGAAAACACUUUCCGGUCAACGGAAAACACUUUCCAGUCAAAGAAAAAUUUAACAUAGUUUUCAGGAAAGUGUUUUCUCUUUAACUGUGUUUGUUUUCCGGAAAGUGAUUUCCGGAAAAUCACUUUCCAAACUUUCUUGUGUUUGUUUGCCAUUAGAAAAGUUGGUAAACGGAAAACACUUUCCAGUAAAAGAAAAAUUUGGCUUGGUUUUCAGGAAAGUAUUUUCCUGAAAAAUUUGGGGAGAAAACACUUUCCAGAAGUUGUGAAAAAUUUAGAAAUGUUAUUAUUUGCUGAUUAUAUCAAAUUUGAUUCUCAAACUUUUGAUUGCUAUAUAUAUUUUGUUUUGAAUAUUUAUUUUUCAAUUUCAUCUCUUACAAUUUUAUUUUUAUAUUAACUUUGAUUCUUGUUUUUAUAAUUACUAUUUGUUUUUUUCUUAUUAUUUUUUUAUUGAAAUUUUUUAUAUUAACAUCAGGUGUUAUUUGCAGCAGUUCGCAUCUGCUUGCAUAACUGUUAUUGGCAUCUAGCUUGGUGAUGUUGGAUUCUGUUGCAGCAAAACAGUUCUUGUGCUGGGAUUCUGAUGAAUCGCGGUGUGAUUUUUGUACAUAAUGUCAGAAGGUAAUGCAUAUCAUCCAUAUUGAUUUAUUCGUCUUCUUUCAGGCAGCAAUGAACAUAAGUGGAUAAUGAGAUUUGGGAUUGAUGCUUGGAAAUGUUCUCACGUUUUGGGUUCGAAAGAUUGAAACAAUCUGCACAUUUCUUCUUUCUCUUGGUUCUUUGAAGUGAUAAACUAACUGUAAUAUUAAAGGUGUGAAAAUGAUUACAGUUCAAAAUGCUUUUGGUUUAAAAAUAUAUUAAAAUAAUAUAUAUAUUUUUUAAAAUAUUUUUGAUAUCAGGAUAUCAAAACGAUUUGAAAAUAUAAAAAAAUAAUUUUAAGCAAUUUUUGUUUUUUUCAAAUUUUGAUGGAAUGCGGUUUGAACCGCAUUUCUAAAUGGGGUCUAAGUAUAUAACUAAAAGGUAUGAGUUUUUCACCAUGCAUGAUCUUACUAUUCAUUUUCUCAUAUAUUACUAUCAAUGAACUGUAAAAACUUUUUGUUUUUUUAAUUUGGUUCUUAAACUUCAUUUUGAGCGAUUUAGUCCUCAUUAAAAGCCAAUUGAUUUUGAUUUCUUAUGAAAAAAAUAAGAUUUAAAGAAGAGAGAUCUAAAUGAAAAAGGCAUCAAACAUGGUGACAUGCUUUAAGUUUUGAAAAUGAUGCACUUUGGUCCUCAAAUUUAGAAAAAUACAGAUUAUAUAAUUUCGAUACCUUAAUAUUUUUCAAUUAAAGUUUGGUAUGAAAGUUUAUUUUUGGUAUUUUUUAGUUCCAGGUUAAGAGUGGAGAGAGAAGUUGCUGGAUUCCAACGGUAGAGAGAGAAUCAUGUCGUUGGCAUUGAUUUAGACUACUAAAACGGACGAUAUUUAUGUCAAAUAACUUUUUUGAAUUGAGAGAAAUGCGUUGAAAAAACUUGCAUAUAUAAUGUUUUUAUAAAAAAAUAAAAAUAUUUGACUUGUAAAGGAACACAAGUCAUAUAACUACUAGUAAUACUAAAUUGAAGUGAUAAAAAAUAAUAUAAAACACAAGUAAAUUGCAUAGAUAAGUCAUCAAUCACACAAACCCUCCAUAUAUAGAUAAUUGAGCAUCGAUUCUUAAGUUUAGGGAGACACAUGGUGGCCGUAUAAAUCUAUACUGGAUCCAUGCGCUUGCAAGUAAUGAUGGAUUCUCAUGAGUCCUAGAAUUCAACAUGCUUAAGAAUGUGUUGGAUAAUUUGUUGAUUUUUUAGUUCAAGCAAUCUGAUCCAUUUUUUAUAGUUAAUGUAUCUAGUGACUUGAUAUGAAAAGCCUUUAAGGGUUGGUAACUAGUAGCAGAUGAUGUCUGACAAGCCAGGUGACUGGUAGUUGGUACCUACAAAAGGUCCUCUUUGAUGGAUUUAGAGAUUCUCCGAUGGUAAAGUUAGUAACUUUAUAUAGAGAGAAGAAACAAUAAUAUUUUAGAGAGAGAUACUAUGAAAAUAUAUACACAGUAGAGAAUGAAGAUAUUGUGAACCUUUGACUUGAAGGAUUCAUGAUGUAUUUAUAGCUCAUGAAUCUUAUCCUUUUUGUGGAGAGGAGGGACUGAAAUGUAAUUUCAAUAUUAUGAUAUUUUGAGUUGUAUUCUACUCAAAAUAAUACGUAUUUGAUCAAUAUAAAAUAUUGAGAGACUUGUAUGGGGUCCAGAAAAAAUUCUCUGAUGGGUGUUGGGCUUGGGCAGGGUGCGCGAGCCUAUUGGAGGUGAAAGUGGGUUCAAGAGCGCUAUCUAGACCCAAACAUACUGGGCUUGGUAUGACAACUUGUGCCCAUGAGGGCUAUAAGGUGCGCGUUCAUGAGGGCUAUGGGGUGUAUGCCUAGCAUCAGCUAGGCGUACGCCUUACAUGGGUGUACACCCAUUGGGGUGCAUUAGGUGUACAUGCAUGCACUGUGUAGACGCCUAAUACACUGUAUAGUGCCCAUGCACUUGGCGUCCAUAUGCCUAUGUAGGGAGCAUGCUCUUGGUGUGUGAUAGCUCGAGCUCGUGUUUCUUGGGUGUUUUUUGAGCUUUUUUUUUUAGGAUUUUUUUGGAUCAAUUUUGAAGAAUUUUUUAGAUUUAUUUUAUUUGUAUCCAUUAGAUUCUAUUAUCAAUUUAAAAAUUUUGAAGUGAUAGAUUAAGAAUAUAUAUUGUAUACAAGUUCCUCAUUUUCCAUUCCUAACCCAAUAACACAUCUUGAAACACUAAACUGACGUGAACCUUAAAAUAGAAAACUAAAUUUUAUUGAAAGUGUACCCCUUUCACAAUAUCUGACAAAGCAAUGGAUAGCUUCGACAAGGAGGAUUUUUUAGGAAAAUUUAUUUAUUUUCUUAUUUAUUUUUAAUGUUUUUUCUAUUUAGUGUAAGAAGUUAAAUUUUAUGUUAAUAUUUUUAUUUUUUCUAGUUUAUUUAUAAUUUUUAUUACUUUUUUUUUUUUGUAUUUUUAGGUUUUCUAGUUUGUUUAGGUUAGUUUUUAUGUUUAUCUAAGAUGUUGUAAACCUCUUAGUUAAAAAGACUAUAUGAACAUAAAAUAUUCAGUAAUAAAAUUAUAAAUUAGGAUUUUGCGAGAUAAUUUUAUUUGGCUUCAAUUAUGUAUUUAUAGCUUAUUGUUUUUUUUUUGUUUCUAGUUAGUUGAUAUUAUUUAGAGCCCAACGAUACCAAUGGUUAUUUGCUUGUUAUGUGCUUAAAUAACUAUGACCGGAAGGGGUAGUAGAAUAAAACAUGCUCGUAUAGGAGUGGAUGAAGAGGUUUCCCUUGAGAAAGAGAUGUUUAAAAGAUGGUGAUAGAAGACAUGCAACGAUAAAUUCCAAAAUUCAAAAGAGAUUUUGAGAUGAUAUAAGACAUGCACAAAAAAUUGCAAUAUUAACCCAUUAGUUGGAGGAGGUAAGGAGCCUAGGGUAUCUUGAGAAAAGUGAUCAUGGAUCUAUGGUUAAUUUUGAGAACUUGUUUAAAAGACAUAAGCAAAGAAAAUAACUUCUUGAUUGGGAUGAAUAUGAUAUUGAAACUAAAAUUUUUAAUAACUCUAGUUUCUUUGUGACUUGAAUCAAAUACUAAAAUUUGAUGAGGAUGAUGAAAAUGACGGCAAAGAAAAGAUUUAAAUGCAAAUUUUUUAAUUAGUGAUCUCAACGAGAAGAUAUCAAAAUUAGAUGUGUGUUUAAGAAAAAUUUUAGAAUUAAUGAGGUGAAAGCUGAUACUAUUGCAAUUCAGCUCAUGCAAGACUUACAAGUCGUUGGCAGUAUCCAAUUCGAAUAUUAUAGACUUCGUCUAAGGUAGUUUACAAAGAAAGUACCCUUAAGACGUGAUUAUAAUAAAAAGUCUAUAUUUCCUGACAAAAAGAAAAGAAAAACACUACAAAGCUGAGAAAGGCAGACAAUAUCGAUUGUCAAAAUCUGAAGGAUACUUGAGUUUCGGAAAUAUUGAGGAGGGUGUAGGAAAACCUGAAAAUGUACGAGAGAACACAACCCCAUCAUGGGUUGCUGUAAUAUGAUAGAAUGGAAUGAAAAACAUAUUGGAAUGAGCAAUAACUAUUACUUGAUUUUUCUAUUUUCUAAGUGUUACAUAUUGAUCCCGUCUACACUGUUGGCAUUUUUCUCAGCAGAUUGUUGAAGCUGCAAUGCAAAUUUAAGGCCCCAAACGACAUCACCCAUUUUAGGGCGUUCAAUUCCUUGACCAUGUAAGCAACUGUUAGCAAUCUCUGCAAACUUAUUUAAAGAGACAGGGGCAACCUCGCCCUUUAAAUGUGGAUCCACGAUCUGAUCAAGGGUUCCUCUUUGGUAACAUUUUCGUGCCCAGUCAGCUAAGCUUGCUUGAUCUUUCGGUGAACCUGGAAUCACUGGUGGCCUUGCACAUAGCACCUCAAACAAAACCACACCGAAUGAAUAAACAUCAGAUUUCUCUGUCAGGUGUUGCCUACGGUAGUACUCUGGAUCCACAUAUCCAAAGCUACCUCUAACUCCAGUGCUAACAUGGGUUUGGGAUGUACUAGUGGGACCCAAUCUGGACAGCCCAAAAUCUGAAACCUUAGCCACCCAAUUCUCAUCUAACAAUAUGUUUGUUGACUUCACAUCACGGUGAAUGAUUGUGUGCUUUGCUCCUGAAUGAAGAUAAUGCAACCCUUUAGCAGCACCGAUGCAUAUUUCUAGCCUUUGCUUCCAUGGAAGAGGAGAGUUCUUUGUUUUGUAUAGAUGUUCUCUAAGAGUGCCUCUUGACAUGUAAUCGUAUACAAGGAUCAUCUCGCCAUGAUCAUCACAGUAUCCAAUCAGUGACACUAGAUGGAGGUGGCGCAGAUUGGAUAACAUCUCAAUCUCUGUCUGGAACUCACGUGUCCCUUGCUUUGAUGAUGAAUCUAGUCGUUUGAUGGCUACUGCACCGUAUUCAAUGUAUCCUUUAUACACAGUACCAAAUCCCCCUGAACCAAUAAUAUUUUGAUCAUCAAAGUUUCCUGUUGCUUCGUUGAUUUCGAAAAAUGUAAACCGUCGGCAAAGAUCAGUAGGGAGUGAUGAAGAGAUUGUAGUCCAGGAGGAUUUUUUCUCUCUCUUGCUAGGGUCCUUGACUCGCUUCUGCUUGAAAGCAAAGAAAUAAAGAACAAGAGAGCAAGCAAAUACUGUACCUAUGGAACCUCCAACGAUGCCUAUAACCAUAAUUAUUGAUGUUCUUCUCUCUGGAUGUUGUUCUGCUGGUGGAGGAGCCACUGUUGGCUCAGGGUUGAAUCCUGCAAGAUUUCCGUGUGUUGUAUUCAGCUUGAAUAUUUCCAAGCCAUUCAAGAUUGCAUCAGCAUAAGUAGGUUUCAGUUCCAUGUUAGGGUGUAGUUCGAGCCACAAGUCCUGCUUGCUCUGGCUCCCUUGAGGGACCCGCACGAUGUAGUCUUUGUAAACUGGAAUGCCGUUGCCACCGCUCAUAUGGAUCACAUCUGCAUCACGCUCUGCUAUUUGAUUGUUGAUGAAUAUUAAAAAUACCUGUUGAUUUACAUUUAUGAACUCCUUUCGAGUCUCACAAAAGUGGAGUCUAAGGAGAUAAAGGAAACCAGCAUCAACUGUGAAGAUCCAUGUGAGAUUGUAAUUCAUGUUAAGACGGGGUUCAGGACCCAUUGAACGCAUAGUACUAUACACCAGAACAGGUGCGGAGUAAGCUGGCGUUUUGCCUGUGUACUUUAUCUUUACGCCUGGGAGAUAUGGAGUGUUUCCAGCUCGUCUAAAGAGAUACUCUGAAUCUUCAUUCCAUGUCCUGUACAUGCCAGCAUCUCCUGUGCUGCCGAUAUCUUGCCCCCCAACAUUCAGUCGAUAAACUGUCUCAAGCGCAGUUGUGUUAUCCAGAAAGGUGUCGACAUCGGGGCCCACAUAGGUCAGUGGAUUAUCAUCGCCACGAGCAUAGAAGUUGUCUGGCAUGGAAACGAUUUCGAUACCAUUAACGAAGGCAAAAGAUGCUGGAGACGGAAUGAAGGUUAAUUCAAGCUUCUGGUUGUCCCACACGGUGAUGAUGAACUCUUUGGUGAAGGAGUCAACUGGAGGUCUUAUAGCAGAAACUGUAAGAGAGGCACUAAAGUUGUUUAGUAGCUGGUAGGUAUUGGCACUAAGCGAAAAAUAGGAUUUGGAUAUAUCAAGAUUUGAGUAAGAAGAUGGAUAAAAGUAGAGACGCACAAAUUUUGGGCCAGGCAAGACUAGAAAUGUGUAAGUGAAUUUAGAGUGAAAAAUACGGGCUGUCUUGUAUGGGACUUGGUCGACAGAGGGGUCUUGAGUGGAGGCUUCAAACACAGAUGAGGCUUCUGGGGGAUUAGAGGCAGCAAACUUCGGCUGGGAAUCACCAUCCCAGCUGCGACCAUCUGGAGAUGACAAAUUAGAGGAUGCACCACAGUUAAGGAGUAUUAGAUCAGUGGGGCUGUAUGGCAGCAAGUAAUCUUCAGUAGCAGUAACAUAGAGGAAGAGAUGGAGGGGAGGGAGAAGGUAGAGAGCGAUGAAGAUGGACAUUAUGCUAUUUCUUUUGUGGAAUAGGUUGGAGUAAGAAAACCUAUGCAUUAAAUGCAAAGAUUUUGAUUUAAGGGAAGAUGAUCAGUGGCGUUUUUGUCUCCAUACAGUAGUAUAUUUGCUCAAGUUGAGAAUAAUCCAAUAAUAUAUUUGAAGCCCGGGGGAGUAGAAAUUCGACGAUAUGGCUAAUGGGAACAUAUUGCUCGCUGUACUUGGUCAGCUUUGGAUGGCUGCUUUCCAUUGUGUGGUUCUGAAUUCUGCCAUAAAGACGCCAUGAAUAGUCUAUGAAACUUAUUUUUCUUUUCUUUUUUCCUUGACUUUUUCAUUCUUUGAUUAAGAUCACACACACCACUUAAUUUCUUAUUUGAUUAAUAUUCUUAACGAGGUUGAAUGUAUUUCAGGUUGGUGUUCACCAUAACAAAUGCAGUAAUCACAGCUCCGAGAUUAGGAUUCAAAAGGUGCAAAGCUUCUUUUUCCUUAUGGUCACCGCCUUGAUACAAUGAUUGUCGCAAGUGCAAGUCUAUAUAAUCCUCACCGAUGCCUUCUGUCCAAUACACACACAUCUUCAUUAUAGACUGGCCUUGCUUCAGUCUUCAAUAAGAAACAUCGUUCUUGUUCCUCAUGAGUAGCCCUUUGACUCGCCUCAGAUCCAUGAAGUCUCAUUUACUUCUUUCUAUUAUUCUUCUGCAAUGAUGUCUUACUGAUAAAAUGCUCUUGUUUUUGGUUAUAAAUGAUAUAAUUUUACACAGGAACUAAUAGGAGGCUCAAAGGAUCGACCUAUUCCUUUUUGGUUCAUGAGUGUGCCUUUUUGGGCUGAGUUUAAAACCAAAAAUCUUCUCAUCUGGUAUAGUAAUCGCUUAAUUACUACAAAACUUGGUGGUAAUGAGAAAUCUUUCUUCCCAUUAAUCGAAGAAUAAUGGAUUUACCUCUCGACAUACUUGGUGCCGAAUAAAAUCAAUAGCACUAGUGAAGAAGAGGCAAGCUGUCCUCUCUUCCCUGGAGAUGGCAAUUUGUUCUCUCUCAUCCUGUUAAGCUUGGUUUCCAUACAUGAGGGGAAACUGAAUGGAGUUCUCGGUGGAUGAAAAAUAAUUGUAAUAAUAAAUGAAAUGAGAUUGAGUUUCAUUGUUGAAAAAAUCAUGCUGAAAUCACUUCAAUCCUAAGAUUAAUGAGUCGCUAUUCAAAUGGAAACCCACGCAGACAGAUAAAGAACUGACCCCUUUGUCCCCUCUUCCUCGAUCAACUACCAUGUUUGCACCGAUUGUAGUAAGUGUGCAAGGCCGAGAGUUAGGAUUGAUCGGUUUUGCACAGUUGCCAUAUAUUUGUGCAUUGCAAAUUGGUUGUCGUUCUAAACUCCUAUAGUUAAUAUAGUUACCCUGAGAGGCCAGUAGUCUCUGAUGCACUUCAGAUUCCAUAGAGAAGUCCUCUUCAUUACCUUCACCGAUUGUGGCAUUGAAAAUUGGACUCGAGUUUGCUUUUAGGAAAGGCAGCUGCAGAAGCAGAUGUGAUCACUGAAACCAGCAGGAUAGUUAAAGAGAGCCACCAGAGGAAUUCAAUACUUGCGUUAGGCCUCAUCUCUUUCUUUCUGUGCCCUUCUGUUACAGAGUUUGAAGAGCACUAAAUAAACGUCACUGCUAAGAAGGCUUCAAACUCUGGAUAUGGAGUGAAAGGCUAGCUUUUUUCCAUUUACAUGCUUUUUUACUGUGAUUUUAAUGUUGUAAACUAUUAAGAAUUAUCUCAAUUUAAUAACUUAAAUUAUUAAGUAAGAUCUUAAAAUAUAAUUUAUAUUAUUCAAGAAUAUUUGACAAAACAUCCUGCCACUUAUUUUAACUAUAUAUAUAUAUAUAUAUAUAUAUAUAUAUAUAUAUAUAUAAUCUGGAUUUUUGUUAGUGAAUUCAUCCUAAUCGGAACUUGAUAUUUCAUAUAAGGCUUCUUGAAGUUUUUUUCUUGUAUUCUGACUUUGAGCUUGAUGAUGCAAGGUUUUCUUGAAUUCAACUUUUAGUGGUGAGAAACGUAAAAAGCAUGCACAACUUUAGAACAAGCUUGAGUUUCUCUAAAUUUGGGUCCACCACCAUUUGACUUUGAUUUUUCUCAUUAAAUCUAAAGAGUAACCAAUAUCUUCAUUUAUAUCAUUCAUUAUAAUGGAGUCCCAAGAUAGCAUGAGACACCAAAGGUUGCGAUGAAAUAAAAGGAGGCAGGAAUUGAAUUCAAAGGUAUUUUUGCUGUGAACAAUUUCAAUCCUUUGUAUGAUUUUUUAGGGAGAAUCUUUCUUAUUGAAGAAAAUAUUGCCAUCAAUUGUUUGGGAACUAAGUUGGAAAAUUCUUUGGACAAUGUUUUAUCAAAUUAGAUGAACGAUGAAUGGUCAUAGGUUUUUAGAAAAAAUAAAAUAAAUUAAGCUUGUUGAUAAUCAAAAUAAAUGGAUCUUAAAGGUUGGUAGUUUUGAGAAAAUCUUUCAAGGUGCAGGGGUUUUGAUUCAUGUCUUGAAAGGUUAUUAAAACCUUUUGAAUUUUUUAUUUUGAAAAAAACAAGAUUGUUUACAUCUUGAUUAUGAAUUAUUUCAACAAAGUCAAUAUCAGCUAGAAUAAACUGAUAGAAUUGUCUUGUUUUCAACAUAUUUUCUACAUUAACUUGAAAAUAAUAGCUUCUUGACUUGAAAGGGUUAUUAUUUAUUUUUUUUGGGAGAAAAUUUGGAUGGUAAUAAACAUGAGUGAAAGUACAAGCACUAGGACAAUAACAAGAGAAAGAAAAUUAAUAGUUGAAAUAGAAUAGAGUAUAAGAAUCCUAAUUUAUAGUUUUAUUGAUGAAGAGAAAAAUCCACUAUUUCUUUUGCCUCUUUAAGAUGUUUUCAACUCUUUAAAUAAGCUCAAAAAUCAAACAAAACAAACUAGAAAACCAUAAAAUAAAGAAAAAAAUAUAUUAAAAUUCCUAAACAAACUUAAAGAAAUAAAAUUACUAUUCUCAAUAUUUGAUUUCCUAAACUAAAUAGAAAAAAUAAAAUCACCAUAAAAAAAUAUUUUUCUAAACUAAAUAAAAAAUAAUAAUAACUAAAAAAUCUUAAUUUCAUAAAAACCCAUGGCAUCAACAAUAACGUUGUUAAAGGUGCAUUUUGGGAUUGAACAAACAAGGGAGUUUGAAGAGAUUAAGAAUAAUUUAUUAUAGGUGAGCUGUUUGGAGUAGAUCAUGCUGAUGAAUAAAAACUAGCCUCACGGUAUCUUGAAUGCUUGAUGUUGUGGCUUGAAUUGGUUUUGAUGGUGUAAGAGCAUAUGAUUUCUUUUGACUUCUUGACCAGGAUGCUCAUUUUGAGCCUAGUAAAGACUCUUUGGAUAAAAGACUCUUUUACUUCUUUCAUGAAUUCAAUCUCGAAAUCAUAUUUUGAUAGAUUAUCUUGACACAAUAUUUUAAAUAUUUUUUUCAACAAUAUAUUUUAUAUAUUGAUAAUUUAUUAGUAAAAGCAAUUUUUUUCUGGAAAAUUAAUAAUUUCUGGAAAAUAUUAGAUGUACAAAAUAUUUAAUAUUUUUUUUAUAAUUAUAUAAUUUUCUUGUGGACCCAAUCAAAUACCUAAAUGAUAUUGCACUACAUGUUCUUGACUUUGAAAAUUUUGUUUGAGAAUACCACUUUAACUAAUAUAAAGGCAAGGCAUCAGUUUCAACUAAAAAAAAACUCUCUAGAUCAGGAAGUUUUAAACAUGAAAACUCUUGAGUUGAAUUUUAAGAGCAUUCACAAUUUUGAUAAUUUGAUGAUUCCAGGCAUCCCAUAAACAAUACCAGUCUUAAACAAUUUUGUUUGAUGACUUCUAAGGGUUUUUCUCAUCAAGUCUUUUGUAUAAAGGUUGACAUAUAUUUAUAAGAUUUGAAAAAAUAUCUAAAACAUAAUUGAGGCAUCCCAUAAACUUUUAAAGCUGGGUUUUAAUCUUGAUUUUAUUUAUGAAUUUAUUAGUAAAUUUUAUUGAUCAAGUGAUAAGGGUUAUUGAUCAUUGAUAUAUAUUGUACCCUAAAACAAUUAUUUUUAAUAUAUUGACAUCAUCUUUAAAGUCGAGAUAACUAAUUCAUUUUGUUUGAUAAUAUCAAGAAAUUUUUGUAAAUUGUUGAAAUGUUUGGUUAUUGGUUUUAAAAAUAAAAAAAAGACAUCAUCAAUAUAUAUAAUCAUAAAUUUUGAAUAUGGAUUAAAGAUGUUAUUUAUGAUGCUAUGAAGUUUUGAAGGAGUAUUUUUUAGUUCGAAAAACAUUAUAUCUCAUUUGUAAUGAUAAUGAAAUAAUGAAUGUUGUUUUGUAAUGAAUUUUUUUUUUAUCAAUUUAGAUUUGCUAGAAUAUUGAUUUAAUAAAAAUAUUUUGAAAAUAUUAAAGCAUUUUAAAGUCUUUUCAUAAGAUCUCUCUUGUUGUGCCUUGGAUAUCUAAUAUAUUGGAGCACUUUGUUAAGAGGCUUGUGAUUCAUGAUCAAAUGUCUUAGUGCACUUCUUUGUAUUUCAGCUUGAUUUCAGACAUAAAAAGGUGGCGUACGAUCAUGAUAAUUUACUAGGGCUUAUAAGGCACUUUUUGAGUAAUUCAUUAAUUUAAUUUUUUUUAAUAAUAUUUUAGUAUAUUUUUUAUUCAUUUGAAUUGGUCUUUCCUUUGUAGGGAUUUUCUUUUCAUUAAAACCUUUUUAAUAAGGUAACUGCACUUAUGACAUUUUUUUUUAAUCCUAAAAGGCACUAGGCAAGUUGGAACAUAAUCAUUUUCUAGAUGGUAAUGACUUUGGAAUACUGACGUGAGGUAAUUUCCAAUUAUCAUUGUACGUGAUUUGAUCUCAUUAUCAAAGUUUAGGAACUUGAAUGUUUGAAUUUUGAAAGUUAGCUUCAAUUCGAAGAGUUUAAUUUAUAGAUGAUUUUUUGAGAGCGGAGCUAUGUUUGUAUCCAUGAUUUUGUAAUAUAUUCUAUAGAUGAUGACUAUAUUUUUGGAAUCUUGAAGCAUAUCAGUUGGAGUCUUAAUAUUUAGAGUUAAAGUUUUCACUAUAAUAUCUAGGUUGAAUAAUGAGAUAGUGAAAUUUGGAUAACAAUUCAAGUAUGUAGAACCAUUAGCAAGAUUUGAUUGAAAGAUUGUAAGUAGUGAGUUUUAAAAGGUCAUAAAUUGAGGUGAUGAAUUGGUUUGACUACAAUUUGUAUGAGAGAGAGAGAGGUGAUCAUUUUUUAUUUGGUUUUUAUAAAAAAAGUAAUUAAACUAGAUUUAUAAAAAAAAAAAACAAAACUGAACCGAAACCGGUUCAAACUGACUGGUUUUGAUUUGACUCAAUUUUUGUUUGAUUGGGGUUCAGUUCGGUUUGGUUUUUCAGUUUAAAGUUUAUAAAACCAAAAUCAAACCAAACCGGUUGGGUUUUUAAAAAUUCUAAUCGGUUUUUUUCAUGGUUUGAUUUUUUUAGUUAAUUUGUUUUUUUUGUUUUCUUAGUUUAAUCAAUUUUUUGAUUUUUUUACUCACUCCUAAUCUAUACUAAACCCAUGUGAUAAAAAAUUAUCUUUCGUUAGUGUUUGGAACAAAAAAUAAGGAAAGAUAUAAUUGUUUCAGAUUGUUUGAUGAAGGCUGGUCUAGAUCAUAUAUAAUUGUCAUUACACAGUGCCGGUCUAACUUGAAAGAUGUUAAUACCCCAUUAAUUGCGACGCCUAAGCUCAUAACCAUAUCCAUGAAUUAUGAUCACCAUUAAGGAAGCGCAUAGGAACUCUUUAAUUUCUAGUUGCUUCUUAAUACAUCUUCCUGGACAUGCAUGUGAUCUAAAGGAACAAAGGGAAAUUAAAUGCUUAAGCAUGAAUGUGAUCGUUCUCUAUAUGUUCGUCUUCAAGCUUUGAAAUUUUUAUAGCCCAAUUAUUAUUAUAUUUUUAAUUUUUUUAUGUGGGAAAAGAGUAUCAAAAUUGUGGGAAAUAUUGUCGAACGUGUGCGGCGGUCGCGGCGAAAAUAACAUAGUUUUUCCAUUUUCUUAAUCUAUAAUGUAAAUCUAUCUAUAUCUAUGGGGAUACAAAAAUAUUGUCUUUUAUUGGUAGAAAAUGGAAUGGGAGUCGCCACCUAGUAUUUUGGUCACUAGGAACCCUAACUGGUCUCAGAGAUCGGGUACGGGGACUGGUUGCGUAAAGGGAAGGUAUUAGCACCCCAAAUACGCCCUACCUAAGGUAAGCUGCAUUGUUUUAUUGUCUGAUAAAAACUAAGGUAUUUUCGUGUUUUCCUAGUUGUUGGUCUGUCUAUGGUUCAAGAAAAAUCCUCCUCGGUAAGAAAGGCUUUAUCUUAUCGGGUAAAAUCCUAACCGUUCUAACGUCCAUACCAAAAUUUAUUAAUAAUAUUUAGGAAUACGUUUUACGUAUAAAUUCGUAAUCCCAAAUACUAAAAUAAAACAAAAAGAUUUUUUAGAAUUUUUGAAAUAUUGGCCUAGUUCUCAUGGCUUGAAUAAACUGGUUAUUAAAGCCAAAAUGCAUGUUAAUACAUAUAUUGUUUUGAAAAUUUUCUUUGUUGUGUGAAAAUAUGAUGUUAUAAUAUUUAUAUGUAUAUAUUGGAGAGACUAGGCCGUAUGCAUGAAAACAAAACCCUUUUUUGGAAAAUAUUUAUUUUUUGAUGUUUUAACAAAAAUCGGGUAUUUUAAUACUGGGUUUGUAUUCUUACGGUAUAAAAAUACAACCCAAUAUUAAUCCACUAUAAAAAUAUGCAGAAAAAUCAACAACAUUUUUAGGGACUUUUUAGAAUUUUUUUGAAAGCAAAAACAUUUUUUAUUUGAAAAUCUUUGAUAUUUUGACGAAAACCGGGUAUUUUUAACACUGGUUUUGUAUCUUUACGGUAUAAAAAUACAAACCAACAUUAAACCACUUUGACAAAAAUGCAGAAAAUCAACAAUAUUUUUUAAGAUUUUUCAAAAUAUAUUUUUUAAAGAAAAAAUAUACAUAUAUAUAUAUAUAUAAUAUAUAAUAUAUAUAUAAUAUAAUAAUACACACACACACACAUAUAUAUAAUUCACGUCCUGCGUGAACAGUAGGACGUGAAUUAUAUUUCACGCCUACUGUUCAUGCAGUGAACAGUAGAAGGAGGAAGAAGAAGAAAAGGAGGAAAGGAAGAAGGAGGAGGAGGAAAGGAAGAGGGGCUCACUUGGCCGAAGAGGUUGUGGCUGCUGUGAUGAGGUGGUUCAGCCGGUGGUUGCAGCGGUGGAGUUGGAGGAAGACGGCGUCGGUUUCCUGUUGCAGAGGAAGAAAGAAGAAGAAGAAAAAUCUGCAGAAAUUGGGCGAAAAUGCUGGUUUUUGGCUGACUUUGGACCUGAAUUUUUCAACCCUCAGAUCAUCAAAUCCGACUCUAUUUAUAGGCUGUGGAAGAGGGCAAUCUUGUCUACGUUGGGGAAAAAUUUCAGCCCUUGAUUCAGUUGGGAAGCAUCUCAACCGUUGGCUCAAAGUGUGCACCUCGAGCUGCCAAAUUUGGCAGCUCCAGGCUGUGAACUGCCCGAGGUGGCCACUUUGAGCCACUCACCGGAGCCGUUUAACUUUUUCGACCCGACCUGACCAUUCUCCGGGAUAAAGGGGUUUCAUGUGGACAUGUUGGUGUAUGUUGUGUCGGAUUUGGAGGCCACACGAGCCGGAAAAUGCGCCUGGAAAGCAGCCACUCAGGCAGCUUUUUGAGGAAGAAGUGAACAGUAACAGGCGACGUGUCACCUGGUUUCCCUGUGCCAUUUUUUAAAUUAGUCCUCCAGUUUUCAAUUUCUUCAAUUUGACCCCGAUCAAUCCAAUACAGCCCCCCUAUUUACGCGCCUUUUCCAAAUUGGUCCCUGGUUUCGGAUUUUCUCAAUUAAGUCCCUAAUUGCCAUUAAACUUCAAUAUUUAUGCAAUUAAGCCCCUGAUUUGACCUAAUAAAUUCCUAAAAAAUAAUUUUGGCCCCAGAACUUAAAUUUCUUUAAUUAAAGCCCAAAUUGACUUAAAAAUCAAAUUUCUUGCAAUCAAAUCCCCUAUAAAAUCAAUUAAAAAUCCAAUUAAGUCCAUAAACAUCCAAAUUUGGGCUUUUCUCCUCAAAAAUUAAAAUUUCUUAUCCAUAAGGGCUCUUAUCAUUCAAGAAUAUAUUGUCAAAAAUCCAUCUUUGUAUUUUUAACCUCCUUGACUAAUUUUUCUGACCAUUUGUUGAACGCUUCUGCCUCAUGUUAUUUUUCUAACCUCCUUUGGCUAUUUAUUUUAUUUCAUUUAUUUGGGGACCCAAAAAUGGGUUAGAACAGAUGCCCCCUCUUUAUAAUGCUUACGGAGCAAGGGUUUUGCGCAGUAAGUUUUAUAAAGAUAAACUCAAAACAGAACUCCUGAAAUUAAUCUGGUUGAAGCUUGAUUGAUCUAGAACUUGUCUUUUACAACAAUCCUCCUCAGCGCCAAAAACUAUGAUCAAAAUUUAGUCAUCUUGUGCUCCCUUCUGGAGAUCUCUUUAAACCACAACCAAAAUCCUUUCCAAUUAGGUUAAACUGAGAUCCCUUCGUUGAUCCCCUUUAACCAUAACCAAGGUCUGUGUGGUGAGACUGAAUUGAGAUUCUUUCGUCGAUCCCCUUCAACCAGAACCAAAAUCCUUUCCAAUUAGGUUAAACUGAGAUCCCUUCGUCAAUCCCCUUUAACCAUAACCAAGGAAUUUGUAGGGUUGGGCUAGACUGAGAUUCCUUUCGGCAAUCCCCUCUAACCAGAACCAAAAUCCUUUCCAAUUAGGUUAAACUGAGAUCCCUUCGCCGAUCCCCUUUAACCAUAACCAAGGAAUGUGUAGGGUUGGGUUAGACUAAGAUUCCUUUCGGCAAUCCCCUCUAACUAGAACCAAAAUCCUUUCCAAUUAGGUUAAACUGAGAUCCCUUCGCCGAUCCCCUUUAACCAUAACCAAGGAAUGUGUAGGGUUGGGUUAGACUGAGAUUCCUUUCGGCAAUCCCCUCUAACCAGAACCAAAAUCCUUUCCAAUUAGGUUAAACUGAGAUCCCUUCGCCGAUCACCUUUAAUCAUAACCAAGGAAUGUGUAUGGUUGGGCUGAACUGAGAUCCUUUCGUCGAUCCCCUUCAACCAGAACCAAAAUCCUUUGCAAUUAGGUUAAACUGAGAUCCCUUCGUCGAUCCCCUUUAACCAUAACCAAGGAAUGUGUAGGGUUGGGCUAGACUAAGAUUCCUUUCGGCAAUCCCCUCUAACCAGAACCAAAAUCCUUUCCAAUUAGGUUAAACUGAGAUCCCUUCGCCGAUCCCCUUUAACCAUAACCAAGGUGUGUGUGGUUGGGCUGAACUGAGAUCCUUUCGUCGAUCCCCUUCAACCAGAACCAAAAUCCUUUCCAAUUAGGUUAAACUGAGAUCCCUUCGCCGAUCCCCUUUAACCAUAACCAAGGUGUGUGUGGUUGGGCUGAACUGAGAUCCUUUCGUCGAUCCCCUUCAACCAGAACCAAAAUCCUUUCCAAUUAGGUUAAACUGAGAUCCCUUCGUCGAUCCCCUUUAACCAUAACCAAGGAAUGUGUAGGGUUGGGCUAGACUGAGAUUCCUUUCGGCAAUCCCCUCUAACCAAAACCAAAAUCCUUUCCAAUUAGGUUAAACUGAGAUCCCUUCGUCAAUCCCCUUUAACCAUAACCAAGGAAUGUGUAGGGUUGGGUUAGACUAAGAUUCCUUUCGGCAAUCCCCUCUAACCAGAACCAAAAUCCUUUCCAAUUAGGUUAAACUGAGAUCCCUUCGCCGAUCCCCUUUAACCAUAACCAAGGAAUGUGUAGGGUUGGGUUAGACUGAGAUUCCUUUCGGCAAUCCCCUAUAACCAGAACCAAAAUCCUUUCCAAUUAGGUUAAACUGAGAUCCCUUCGCCGAUCCCCUUUAACCAUAACCAAGGUGUGUGUGGUUGGGCUGAACUGAGAUCCUUUCGUCGAUCCCCUUCAACCAGAACCAAAAUCCUUUCCAAUUAGGUUAAACUGAGAUCCCUUCGUCGAUCCCCUUUAACCAUAACCAAGGAAUGUGUAGGGUUGGGCUAGACUGAGAUUCCUUUCGGCAAUCCCCUUUAACGAGAACCAAAAUCCUUUCCAAUUAGGUUAAACUGAGAUCCCUUCGCCGAUCCCCUUUAACCAUAACCAAGGUGUGUGUGGUUGGGCUAAACUGAGAUCCCUUUGCCGAUCCCCUUCAACCAGAACCAAAAUCCUUUCCAAUUAGGUUAAACUGAGACCCCUUCGUCCGAUUCCCUUUAACCAUCCAACCAAGGAAUGAGUAGGGUUGGGUUGACUGAGAUUCCUUUCGCAAUCCCCUCUAACCAGAACCAAAAUCCUUUCCAAUUAGGUUAAACUGAGAUCCCUUCGCCGAUCCCUUUAACCAUAACCAGGGAAUGUGUAGGUUGGGCUGAACUGAGAUCCUUUCGUCGAUCCCCUUCAACCAGAACCAAAAAUCCUUUCCAAUUAGGUUAAACUGAGAUCCCUUCGUCGAUCCCCUUAACCAUAACCAAGGAAUGUGUAGGGUUGGGCUAGACUGAGAUUCCUUUCGGCAAUCCCCUAACCAAAACCAAAAUCCUUUCCAAUUAGGUAAACUGAGAUCCCUUCGCGAUCCCCUUUAACCAUAACCAAGGUGUGUGGUUGGGCUGAACUGAGAUCCCUUCGCCGAUCCCCUUCAACCAGAACCAAAAUCCUUUCCAAUUAGGUUAAACUGAGAUCCCUUCGUCGAUCCCCUUUAACCAUAACCAAGGUGUGUGUGGUUGGGCUGAACUGAGAUCCCUUCGCCGAUCCCCUUCAACCAGAACCAAAAUCCUUUCCAAUUAGGUUAAACUGAGAUCCCUUCGCCGAUCCCCUUUAACCAUAACCAAGGUGUGUGUGGUUGGGCUGAACUGAGAUCCCUUUGCCGAUCCCCUUCAACCAGAACCAAAAUCCUUUCCAAUUAGGUUAAACUGAGAUCCCUUCGUCGAUCCCCUUUAACCAUAACCAAGGAAUGUGUAGGGUUGGGUUAGACUGAGAUUCCUUUCGGCAAUCCCCUCUAACCAGAACCAAAAUCCUUUCCAAUUAGGUUAAACUGAGAUCCCUUCGCCGAUCCCCUUUAACCAUAACCAGGGAAUGUGUAUGGUUGGGCUGAACUGAGAUCCUUUCGUCGAUCCCCUUCAACCAGAACCAAAAUCCUUUCCAAUUAGGUUAAACUGAGAUCCCUUCGUCGAUCCCCUUUAACCAUAACCAAGGAAUGUGUAGGGUUGGGCUAGACUGAGAUUCCUUUCGGCAAUCCCCUCUAACCAAAACCAAAAUCCUUUCCAAUUAGGUUAAACUGAGAUCCCUUCGCCGAUCCCCUUUAACCAUAACCAAGGUGUGUGUGGUUGGGCUGAACUGAGAUCCCUUCGCCGAUCCCCUUCAACUAGAACCAAAAUCCUUUCCAAUUAGGUUAAACUUAGAUCCCUUCGUCGAUCCCCUUUAACCAUAACCAAGGUGUGUGUGGUUGGGCUGAACUGAGAUCCCUUCGCCGAUCCCCUUCAACCAGAACCAAAAUCCUUUCCAAUUAGGUUAAACUGAGAUCCCUUCGCCGAUCCCCUUUAACCAUAACCAAGGUGUGUGUGGUUGGGCUGAACUGAGAUCCCUUUGCCGAUCCCUCAACCAGAACCAAAAUCCUUUCCAAUUAGGUUAAACUGAGAUCCCUUCGUCGAUCCCCUUUAACCAUAACCAAGGAAUGUGUAGGGUUGGGUUAGACUGAGAUUCCUUUCGGCAAUCCCUCUAACCAGAACCAAAAUCCUUUCCAAUUAGGUUAAACUGAGAUCCCUUCGCCGAUCCCCUUUAACCAUAACCAGGGAAUGUGUAGGUUGGGCUGAACUGAGAUCCUUUCGUCGAUCCCCUUCAACCAGAACAAAAUCCUUUCCAAAUUAGGUAAAUUAGAUCCCUUCGUCGAUCCCUUUAACCAUAACCAAGGAAUGUGUAGGGUUGGGCUAGACUGAGAUUCCUUUCGGCAAUCCCCUCUAACCAAAACCAAAAUCCUUUCCAAUUAGGUUAAACUGAGAUCCCUUCGCCGAUCCCCUUUAACCAUAACCAAGGUGUGUGUGGUUGGGCUGAACUGAGAUCCCUUCGCCGAUCCCCUUCAACCAGAACCAAAAUCCUUUCCAAUUAGGUUAAACUGAGAUCCCUUCGUCGAUCCCCUUUAACCAUAACCAAGUGUGUGUGGUUGGGCUGAACUGAGAUCCCUUCGCCGAUCCCCUUCAACCAGAACCAAAAUCCUUUCUAAUUAGGUUAAACUGAGAUCCCUUCGCCGAUCCCCUUUAACCAUAACCAAGGUGUGUGUGGUUGGGCUGAACUGAGAUCCCUUCGCCGAUCCCCUUCAACCAGAACCAAAAUCCUUUCCAAUUAGGUUAAACUGAGAUCCCUUCGCCGAUCCCCUUUAACCAUAACCAAGGUGUGUGUGGUUGGGCUGAACUGAGAUCCCUUUGCCGAUCCCCUUCAACCAGAACCAAAAUCCUUUCCAAUUAGGUUAAACCUGAGAUCCCUUCGUCGAUCCCCUUUAACCAUAACCAAGGAAUGUGUAGGGUUGGGUUAGACUGAGAUUCCUUUCGGCAAUCCCCUCUAACCAGAACCAAAAUCCUUUCCAAUUAGGUUAAACUGAGAUCCCUUCGCCGAUCCCCUUUAACCAUAACCAGGGAAUGUGUAUGGUUGGGCUGAACUGAGAUCCUUUCGUCGAUCCCCUUCAACCAGAACCAAAAUCCUUUCCAAUUAGGUUAAACUGAGAUGCCUUCGUCGAUCCCCUUUAACUAUAACCAAAACGAAAAUGCAUGAGUGGUCUCAUUAUGAUGGGUGACCUACCCGAAUGGAAAAGAAAAAGGAGUGGUCUCAUUCUUAUGGGUGACCUACCCAGGGGGAAGAAUUCUUAGUAAACUCCAUGCUUUUUUAAGAAAUGGUUUCAAUAUGAGGUCCCUUCUGGCGACCUUCCUUGAUGAAUGUCGAAGUACGAGAUCCCUUCUGGUGAUCUCAAAUAACUUGGAAUCCCAUCGGGCGAUUCCUUUUACCAAAGCUGAAAUAUGAGGUCCCUUCUGGCGACCUUCAUCGAAAUACGAGAUCCCUUCUGGCGAUCUCACCAAACAACUUGGAAUCCCAUCUGGCGAUUCCUUUUAUACAAAACUGAAAUUUGAGGUCCCUUCUGGCGACCUCCAUCGAAAUACGAAAUACGAGAUCCCUUCUGGCGAUCUCAACAACUUGGAAUCCAUUGGCGAUUCCUUUUUACCGAAUGCUAUCGAUGUCGUUCUUCCUGCUGGCAGGGUUUGAAAACCAUUAUCUUCUCUUCUUGUUGUUCUAGAAUCAACUCAAUGAUUCUUUCUUCGUCCAUAAUCUUGUUGGAAUGCGCUAAGAUCUCCUCCUGUAACGAUCCAAAAAACAUAUAUGCAAUGAUUUAUGAUUAGAUGCAAUGCAUGCAUUCGUACCUGGUUUUGAAACAUAGGCCCCAUCCUCUUCUAGUUCAUGAGACUCCCUCUUAACAUGAACUUGCUUUUGAAGUCGUAUGCUGGAUUCAUCUCUCGUGUUGCCUAUCAUAUUCUUGGAGAAAAGUCUUUGACUUUCUUCAAGUAGUCCUUUUCUCAAAAUGUAUGACUUGUAUUUGCCUCUUUGUCAUGCUUUUGUCAAAUGCUUUAGCUUGGUUUUCAAAUCUAUAGGCUUCAUCCAAUUUUAAACACGUAAAACUUUUCAUAAAACAUCUCGUCUUGCCCCCAGUGUAGGGGUGCGAUAUUAGUCUGGGUUUUAUAUAGAGAAGAAUUCAUUCAGCCAGUGAUAAACUUUUUUAGUGAGUGAAGAUAAUGAUUUUUUUUUUUUCAAAAUGCACAUUGUUAUAUAAACUCUAUUCUUUAAAAGACAAUUACAGAUGAUUAUAAGACCACUUAAUCAUUUAUCAUUAUCAUCAAGGUUGUAUUUAGGGUUAGCUUUUCUUAAAUUUCAUAUUAAACCAUUUUAUGAUACUUUAUUUGUAACCACUCAAACUUGUUCAAAAAAUGCAUAAACUCAUCAUUUAUUUAAAGAAAAGGUAAGCUCAAACACAAAAAUGGCUGACAUCAUGAGCCUGAUUGCCCACUAGAGAAAAAAAAGCAAAGACAAAAGCAAAUGACAAAAACAUGCUAAGGCAAAUAAAGUUGUUUUACAUUUUGAAAACUACGAGAAGUUCUUGGGUCAACCCGUUCUGAAACUUCUUCUAGUGUGUGGAAAGUCAACCGAGGCAAUGCUUCAUCUUCCUUCCCCACUUGCGUUUCCUUGUCUUCUCCUUCGAUCUCGCCUUCUUCAUUAUUGACGAUUCUUGACCAAGGUUUUCCAACCUUUAUCCCCUAUCACUUUUGUCAUGACCAGGCAAUGGAUUUGAAUGAUAUUGGGUGUGUCUUCAAAUGACACCCAUCCUAUCUUGAUGAGCUUCAACAACUUGUUCUUGAAAGUAGCACGUUUCAAGACAAUGCCCGGGAAUACCAGCAUGGUACUCGCAAGUCAACUCGGGCUUAUACCAGAUGGGGAAUGGUGGCUGUAGUGGUAAUGUAGGGAUAGGAGCUAUUUGUCCAAUGCUCAGUAGUUUGGCAUAUAUGUCCUUCAGAGGCAUGGGUAAUGGCGGUAGUUGUUCUGAAAUGUAUCUUGUGUUUGGUCUUUGGUGGUUGUUUUGGGUGUUUGACUGAUUUGCUCGAUUAGGGGAAAAAGGUUUGUUAAAGUUUAUGUGGGCCACAUGAGAGGUAGGUAUUUGUGGGUUAUAUGAAUCUGUUAUCUUGUCAUUGGACCCACCUUCGAAGUUGUUAACGGGACCUUUCAUUUUUCUUCCGAAAAAACCCUUUGUCUCCAAUGGCUCAAUUAUGCGUCCAGCUUUAAUCCCUUGCUCUAUUCUUUCCGCUAUGCGUACAACAUCAUAGAAAUGUUGAGAUGAGCUACCCAUUAAAUGCUCAUAGUAGGGUGCCUUGAAUGUAUUGGCGAACAAAGUCACCAUCUCCGUUUCUAUCAAAGGGGGUUGCACAUGCAUGGCCUCGUCCCUCCAUCUUUGCGCAUAAGCCCUUACUGAUUCUUGGCUUCUCUUUUCCAUUGACAUAAGGCUUGUUCGAUCUGGAGCAAUUUCCAAAUUGAACUUGUAUUGCUUAAGGAAAGCCUCAACUAAAUCCUUCCAUUUCUUGAUCUUGGCAUUAUCCAGCCUCAUGUACCAACUUAGCGCCGACCCCGAUAGACUGUCUUGGAAAAAGUAGAUCAGUAACUUAUCGUCAUGAAUCACCUCAGCCAUCUUAUUGCAAUAAGAUCGAAGGUGAGUGUUUGGGCAUUCCAACCCAGUGUACUUUAUAAACUCCGGUAUCCUAAAUUUUUGGUACCGUGAUGUUUGGUACCAAGCAUAUUUCAGACGCUCGCAUGGGGUCAAACCAGUCAUUUCCCUCGACUGCUCUUAACCUUUCUUCCAAGGCUGAUAUCUUGUCAUCGUUCAUAAAACCAGUGGACCUAUUAUCGGAAGGCCCCUCUACAGUGAUGUGAGCUUGAGGGGGCUGAAUGGGAAUGGCAGUGCAAAGUGCUGCCCCGUCACUGAAUCUGCCCCCAAGUUCUGAGAUACCCCCGGGACAUGAACUGACGGUGCUCCUAUAGGUGGUUGGGUAGAUGUUCCCUCCCCGUUCUUGGCUCUUAAAAGUUGCUCAAGCAGAUUGGUCAGUCGAGAAACUUCAUUUUACGGAUUCCAAUUCACUGGUAGUGCGACUCUAGGAUGCUCUCUUCUUCUCCAUUCUUGAUCUGGACCGGGUUUGGUGGACUCUGGAUGUGGGACCUAUGUUUCACGAUCUGUAAUGCAUAUGAUAACAAAAUGCGUGAUGAAAAUGUGAUGCACAAGUGAUGAUGUAUAACAUUGCAAAAAGAUACAUAACCUAAGGACAAGCUCUAUUUAUUAAGUGAGAGUGGGUAGUUUUUUCUAUCUGUCUUGAAGGUCUCAUAUCUGCCCAGUGACGUUCUUCGUAAAGACAGUAUGGGGGCGUUGCAAGGAACAGUUAAGACACGUAUGCCCACCAUUACCAAACAGGCACUCAGAUAUGAGUUGGGUGUUUCACGCAUUUAAACCCUGACCAAUAGUCUUAGGGUAAAUCGCUAAUUCCCCACUUAACUUAAAGCUUGUGUGUGCUUCUCAAAAUAAAAGCAAGUGAUGCAUGAGAUAAUUUUAUACAAUGCAUAAAUAAUACGCGUAAAAUAAAAAACAAACAUGCAAAUAAACGGAAAGGCAUAUUAACAAUAAACACACGAAAACACAAACAAAUCAGACAAAAACAAAGCUUAGUCUACAAGGUCCCCAGCGGAGUCGCGGCGAAAAUAACAUAGUUUUUCCAUUUUCUUAAAUCUACAAUGUAAAUAUAUCUAUGUCUAUGGGGAUACAAGAAAAUAUUGUCUUUUAUUGGUAGAAAAUGGAAUGGGAGUCGCCACCUAGUAUUUUGGUCACUAGGAACCCUAACUGGUCUUAGAGAUCGGGUACGGGGACUGAUUGCGUAAAGGGAAGGUAUUAGCACCCCAAAUACGCCCUACCUAAGGUAAGCUGCAUUGUUUUAUUGUCUGAUAAAAUCUAAGAUAUUUUCAUGUUUUCCUAGUUGUUGGUCUGUCUAUGGUUCAAGAAAAAUCCUCCUCGGUAAGAAGGUCUUUAUCUUAUCGUGUAUAAUCCUAACCGUUCUAACGUCUUUACCAAAACUUUAUUAAUAAUAUUUAGGAAUAUGUUUUACGUAUAAAUUCGUAAUCCCAAAUACUAAAAAGAAAACAAAAAGAUUUUUUAGAAUUUUUUGAAAUAUUGGCCUAGUUCUCAUGGCUUGAAUAAACUAGUUAUUAAAGCCAAAAUGCAUGCUAAUACAUAUAUUGUUUUGAAAAUUUUCUUUGUUGUGUGAAAAUAUGAUGUUAUAAUAUUUAUAUAUAUAUAUAUUGGAGAGACUAGGCCGUAUGCAAGAAAACAAAACAUUUUUUUGGAAAAUAUUUGUUUUUUGAUGUUUUAACAAAAAUCAGGUAUUUUAAUACUGGGUUUGUAUUCUUACGGUAUAAAAAUACAAACCAAUAUUAAUCCCUUUUGACAAAAAUAUGCAGGAAAAUCAACAAUAUUUUCAAAGAUUUUUUCAGAAUAUAUUUUUUAAAGAAAAAAAUAUACAUAUAUAUAUAUAUACAUAUAUAAUAUAAUAUAUUAUAAUAUAUAAUAUAAUAAUACACACACACACAUAUAUAUGUAAUUCACGUCCUGCAUGAAUAGUAGGACGUGAAUUAUAUUUCACUCCUACUGUUCAUGCAGUGAACAGUAGGUAAGGAGGAAGAAGAAGAAGAAAAGGAGGAAAGGAAGAGGAAGGAGGAGGAAAGGAAGAGGGGCUCACUUGGCCGAAGGGGUUGUGGCUGCUGUGAUGAGGUGGUUCAGCCGGUGGUUGCAGCGGUGGAGUUGGAGGAAGACGGCGUCGGUUUCCUGUUGCAGAGGAAGAAAGAAGAAGAAGAAAAAUCUGCGGAAAUUGGGUGAAAAUGCUGGUUUUUGGCUGACUUUGGACCCAAAUUUUUCAACCCUCAGAUCAUCAAAUCCGACUCUAUUUAUAGGCUGUGGUAGAGGGAAAUCUUGUCUAUGUUGGGUAAAAAUUUCAGCCCUUGAUUCAGUUGGGAAGCAUCUCAACCGUUGGCUCAAAGUGUGCACCUCAAGCUGCCAAAUUUGGCAGCUCCAGGCUGUGAACUGCCCGAGGUGGCCACUUUGAGCCACUCAACAGAGCCGCUUCUAACUUUUUCGACCCGACCGGACCAUUCUCCGGGAUAAAGGGGUUUCAUGUGGACAUUUCUGUGCACGUUUUGUCGGAUUUGGAGGCCACACGAGCCGGAAAAUGCGUCUGGAAAGCAGCCACUCAGGCAGCUUUUUGAGGAAGAACGUGAACAGUAACAGGCGACGUGUCACCUGGUUUCCCUGCGCCGUUUUUAAAUUAGUCCUCCAGUUUUCAAUUUCUUCAAUUUGACCUCGGAUCAAUCCAAUACAGCCCCCCUAUUUACGCGCCUUUUCCAAAUUGGUCCCUAGAUUCGGAUUUUCUCAAUUAAGCCUCUAAUUGGCCAUUAAACUUCAAUAUUUAUGCAAUUAAGCCCCUGAUUUUACCUAAUAAAAUUCUAAAAAAUAUAUUUUGGCCCUAGAACUUAAAUUUCUUUCAAUUAAAGCCCAAAUUGACUUAAAAAUCAAUUUUUCUUGCAAUCAAAUCCCCUAUAAAAUCAAUUAAAAAUCCAAUUAAGUCCAUAAACAUCCAAAUUUGGGCUUUUCUCCUCAAAAAUUAAAAUUUCUUAUCCAUAAGGGCUCUUAUCAUUCAAGAAUAUAUUGUCAAAAAUCCAUCUUUGUAUUUUUAACCUCCUUGACUAAUUUUUCUGACCAUUUCUAACCUCCUUUGGCUAUUUAUUUUAUUUCAUUUAUUUGGGGACCCAAAAAUGGGUUACAACAAAUAUAUAUUAGAAUAUUUCAUGGACUGAACUGCUCUAUGAUUGUGCAUUUAUAGCCCAAUUAUUAUUAUUUUUUUCUUUUUCCUGUUAAUUGCAUUUUGGAAUUCAUUUGAUUUGACAUAAUUUGAACUGGAAGAAUGAAUUGGGUUGGCCUUCAUUUGUUCUGUUUUAAUGUGACUGAGAGCCUUAUUUUUUUAAAUGUAUUGUCACUCAUUUAGAUACUGACUAAGUAGAGUUUGCACUCAGAUUAACAUACAGUAUUCAUUCAUUCCAUUAAGCCUUAAUGGAGUAGUGAAUGAAUAAAAUGACUUUUAUUAUAUGUUCCUUGCCUGUGGUCCUCUACUACGUGGACGCUGAACUGGAGCAUUGGAGGUUCCCCCAUUGCUCCAUUGUUGGUAUAUUUGAGCAACUAUGAAACAUGAAGCUGGCCAAUAGGUGUCUAUAAGUAGUACAUAGAUUUUACAAUAGAAACAUGGUGCAAUCAGUGUUCUAUAUGCACGAUCAAAUUUGGGGCUUCACUGUACUACCUCAGAUACUGUCAAAAUAUGCUUCUUGGAAUUCGGAAGCUUAGAUCAUCGGUUAACAUGUCUGGUGUUGGUGCUUCAUGAAAUGAUGUUACCUUUUCUCUUUCUGAACGUUAUUUCCAGGUUGGAAAUUCAAGUAAUUAGUUCAAAUCGAUCCUAGAAGAUUGUUGUUACUCAAAUUUUGACCCACCUUUUUGAUAAAAUUUUUGAAAAAUCCAAAAAUAGUGAAAAACAACAAAAAUCCAAAAAAUAUGUUUUUAAUAUAUUUUGCAUCGUUUUUAGCAUUUUCAACGUCGUCUAAAAAAAACACAAAGAAUUUUAAUUUUCAAAGGUUUUUCGAACGCGUUCGACUUUUCACGCGUCAUUUUUAAAAUCAUUAAUUUUUCUCAUAGAAUUGACGUUGAUUUUGCUCGUUUUUAAAAAUACAAGAAAAAAAAAACAAGACAAAUCAAAAUUUACAAAAAAAGAAAGUUGAGGGACCAAUUUUGAUACCCGGACAACAUUUUACCUAUAAAUAUAGGUUGAAAACUCAAAAAAAGAAGAGGGGGGGUCAUUUGGUAAUUUUGAGGAGAGAGAACACAAACCAGAAACCCUAAGAGCCUAAUUGUUUCUCCCCUCACAAAAAGAAGCCGCCGGCCACCCCCCACUUCUUCUUCCUUAUUAGCCAAACAGCCUGCACCUCACGGAGGAUUUUUUUUUGACAGACUCCACCAAAGGUUCUGCUCCCUCACCAGCACAACCCUGGACCUGGCAUCUCCCUCAGCCUAAACAGACCCGCCGUCCCCUGUUCCCUUGAUUUUUUUUCUUCUCUCGCCCAAACCAGCCACCGCAGCUCUCCUCUUCCUUCUUUCUCCUACAACCCGAUCUUCCCACGUUUCCUCACAGGACGACCCUCCAUUUUGAUUUUUCUUCUUCUCCACCUGACCAAGCCGAAAGAGGAGCGGCCCGCCCUAGAUUGAUUUUCUUCUCCUUUCUCGGCCGACAACCAAGCCCCCCCUGGUUUUGAUUUUUGGCCGGCUGCGAGAGAAGCCUUCGGCUCUCGGACCCAUAGCCUCCCAGACCCGCACGGCCAGCCUCAUCCCCACCGUCCCGCUCCUCUCUCAGUCGACAACACAGGCGCCUCCACCACCGGCCACCCGAACCAGCGUCACUGACCGUUCCCCAGCUCUGUCCGACCUCUCUCUCAGCCAUCGUGGACAGACCACCUUCUCACUCUCCUCUCAGUCGGUCGUCGCCGAAGAAGCAACACACACAGACCGGCCUUUCUCCCCCAAGCCCCGACCGAGCGCCUUCCUCCUCCACAAACGUCGUCCCAUAUAAGUCGGGCCUCUGCCAGCAGAAGAAAAGAUGAAGAAAAGGAGGGCAGAUCUGCAGAUCUAAAAGAGGAGGCAGAGGAGCAAAAAUCUGAGAAAAUUAAGAAAGAAAUUGAAACCGAUUGUGUUGUGUGUAUUUCUAGUGUUGCAGGUGAAGGCGUUCCCCACUGCCGGCGUGGGAAGGCAGAGGGGAAGAAGACACUAGUCCCCUGGUUUUUUUUUGUUUUGUUUUUAGCGGCGGCGCGUGAGCCCACGCGCCGCCAGUGGUGGUGUCGCGUUGGGCGACGCGCCGCCACUGUUCCUGCGGGUGGCAGAAGGGCAAUGCUGCAAUUUCUGGAGUUUAGGGACUAUUUUAUAAAUUAUGUAAUGUAAUUUUUAUUUAGUUUAAUUUGUUGUUAUAAUUUGUAAUGUGAUGUAUAAAAAGAACAAAAAACAAUAAUGUAAAAGAAAAGAAAAGAAAAGAAAAGAAAGAGAAAAUGAUAAUAAAAAAGAAAAGAAAAGAAAUGUUUGUGUGUGCUUGUAUGUUUUUUUUAUGUAUGUUAUUGAAUAAAAAAAAAGGAAUUUAAUUUAUAUGCACAAAUAUCUAAAGGACAGAUAAAAAUCAUGUUGAAUUUUCCAUGGAAAUGUAGAACAUGUAUCUACAUAUAGUCUUGAAAAGUAAUAACUGAUUUAUCAAAGCCUUAGAAUUGAGCUAAAAUUUUAUUUUUAAUAUCACAUCAAGUCCACAAAGCUUGAAAGUGAAUGUGGCGUGUAUUUCUGUUUAUGAAUGUUUUUUUAUUAUGAUAAAAUUGCAAGAAUAAAGAAGAAUUUAAUAUUCUGAUUUGAUCACGGAUAAAGAAUUAUGAACUUACAUGUAAGUUGUAUUUUUUAAAAUUCGAUGAAAGAACAUAAUUUUUAAAACUUCUUUAACACAUCAAGUCCACAAAGCAGCUUACCUCAGGUAGGGUGCGUUAGGGGUGCUAAUACCUUCCCUAACCACAACCAGUCCCUUACCCGCGAUCUCUGACAAGACCAGUACAUCAAGUUUCUUAGUAGCCCUCAAUGAAUUACUAGGUGGCGACUCUAAAGAACCAAAUCAGCAAAAAAGAACGAAUAAUCGCCAGCCGAUGCCGUGCGUGGAUUUUUUCGACGUGCUACAAAGAUGAAUGGUGGCUUAGAAUGCUGUGAAAAAAUCAUUCCCUUGUUCAUUUUUCAAAUUAGAAAAGACAACUUUUUGCUUGAACUUUUAGAAUAUAAAAAAUCAUACUUUCAUAGCUAGACACUUUCCAUCUAUGAUCUUUAAAUCUGAAGACAUAACAUCUGGUUUAAUGAAAGUGCUAUUAACAUGCCAAACUUUAUUAGAUUGUUGUUGUGCACUUGGGAAGAAAUAAAAUACUUGUCCUCUAUUGUUUUCAAUAGCAUAAUCAGCUUCAUAGUUUUCUACGUUGUCUUUUUACUAGUAGUACCUUUGUGAAUGUCUGGGAUUUCUGUCUUUUGCAUCUAUACCAGCACUCUUUUACUUAGUGUCCACCUCAUUUUCAAGUUCAUAAGUAGGAGGAAAGAAUGUAAAAAUAUAGCCAUUUGUUUUCUGGUUUUUUGCUGGGACUUUUAUUUAAAAUUUGACACAAGUGUUUUAUAUAUAAACAUCUCGAUUUAAUUUUUUGUUUCCUAAUCGACGAGGAAUUCCACUCACAAGUAAUAUCUGUACAUUUUUUCUCAUGUUUGGUUAAGGCUAGGAAAGUGAAACAAAAAUCAUGUUAUGCAGUAUAAAAAGGUAAUGGAAGUGACUGGUUUCACCAUCACCGGUAAAGUGUCUGUAAUGACUGGCAUGGCCUAUGGGCUACAUUAUGCUUAGAUCCGUUAAAAUCAUGUAUGUAAUGACUGGCUAUGAAUGAAGUUUUUGUAAUUUAAAAAAAAAAAAAAAAAUUCUGUGAUGUCCAAAGUACACUUAUUAUGGGCAUGAGGAAGUGUUAAUUUACAUAGUUAACAUCUGGCCUUCCGCAUGUUUUUGCUUAUUUAUUGAAGUCACAAAGUUCUUUGUUCAUCUAUGGUGACACCUGUGUAGUUUAAAGUGGGGAAAUAUCAGAGUACAGUUAUUAUAGCAUAAUUUUGAGAUACUGUUUUAGGGAUUGAGAUUUUUAUUGGCUGAGAGCUCCAUAAGGUACUUGGAUGGUCAGCCAACAUCUGGCCUCUCCUGUUUUUCAAACUUCAAUGGUAAUGACCAUAGUUCAUUUUUCAAGGCUUUGAUUAUAUAAAUUUUUCCAGGUAGUCUUAUAUAGGACCUACUAUCUACUAUCAGACCACAUGUCAACUUGACUCUGUUUGUUCUUGCUGGUAUUAUUAUUUUGCCUGUUAAUUGCAUUUGUUUUUCUAUGCAAGAUGUUUUUCAAGCAAUUGCUAUCUAUUUGUAUGUCUGCGAUAUGCUAAGUUUGAGAAUUCCUUUCUUUUCUCCAUUCAGAGCGGUUGUGUGCAAAGGAUGAAUAGAUGUGAACCUGCUAUUGAUCAAUGGUAGAGAUUUGGUUCUGAAGGUGGCUUGAUCAAGUUAUCUUUGGAGUUGGCAUUUUCACACAGGCAGAAGAAAUUUUUCUUGUAUUCCCAACCCUGAUACAAUAUUGUUGGUCUAGUCUUUGGCAUUACCGCCACUGAGGAGCGAACCUCCUAUUGAAUCUGGAUUAGUUACAGAAUUUUAAAGACUUUUUAAUCCUCCUGAGAUUCUAAGCACCGAUUUACUCUCCCUAGGAACGCAAGUUAGGAUAAAUGAGUCAGUUAGAUGCUCCACUGGUAUAUCCAUUUUUCAUUUUGCAUAGCUAGUGUAUUCUUGUAGCAAAAUAUUUUAUCCGUUGCAAUUAUAUUGUGAUUUUUCCAUUUUGAACUCGAGAAAUUUUAGUGUAGUAUCUGGAAGACCACAGAGUUACGUGCUUCGGCAGAAACAGUUGUAUACCUGAAUGAAAUCUCUUGUCAAUAAUAAGGUUUGAUUACUCUUUGGAACUCAUUUACAGUACAUGGUUCUCUAGUCACAUGCAAAAGUUGCAGGUUGUUCAAAAAUGGUGGUUAUUUUGGUUUUGGUGAUUUAAGCACUUAUUACUGCAAUAUCAGCAAUG